GCUUGUCUCAAAGAUUAAGCCAUGCAUGUUCAAGUAUAGCAAGUGUACAGUGAAACUGCGAAUGGCUCAUUAAAUCAGUUAUAAUUUAUUUGAUAGUGAAAUUGUACAUGGAUAACCGUGGCAAUUCUAGGGCUAAUACAUGCGUCAAUGGUCGGUCGACCAGUAUUUAUUAGAUACAAAGCCAGCCGUCAGGAUCAGGUGAAUCAUGAUAACCAAACGAAUCGCAUGGCCUUGCGCCGGCGAUGGUUCAUUCAAAUUUCUGCCCUAUCAACUUUCGAUGGUAAGAUAGUGGCUUACCAUGGUCUCAACGGGUAACGGGGAAUUAGGGUUCUAUUCCGGAGAGGGAGCCUGAGAAACGGCUACCACAUCCAAGGAAGGCAGCAGG
rnacentral:rRNA from 1 species